GUCUAUGGCCAUACCGCCCUGAACACACCCGAUCUUUUCGGAUCUUGGAAGCUAAGUAGGGUCGGGACUGGUUAGUACUUGGAUAGGAGACUAAAGUCUUUAUUAGGCUAGAAC
rfam:Erinaceus europaeus unplaced genomic scaffold scaffold00299, whole genome shotgun sequence